CAGCCUCCUUGGCAUCCAAAUCUGUGACCAUGCCGUGGACGAAUUCGUGACGCUCAUUUAGCCAUCGCACUCGAGCACUGC
rnacentral:ribozyme from 1 species